rnacentral:sRNA from 1 species
AUGCUUCCGUAGGUGAACCUGCGGAAGGGAUCAUUAGCGGAGUGAGGGCCCUUUGGGUCCGGCCUCCGGCCCGUAGUCUAUUGUACCUUGAUUGCUUCGGCGGGCCCGCCGUUUCGACGGCCGCCGGGGAGGCCUCGCGCCCCCGGGCCCGCGCCCGCCGAAGACCCCAACAUGAACGCUGUUCUGAAAGUAUGCAGUCUGAGUUGAUUAUCAUAAUCAGUUAAAACUUUCAACAACGGAUCUCUUGGUUCCGGCAUCGAUGAAGAACGCAGCGAAAUGCGAUAAGUAAUGUGAAUUGCAGAAUUCAGUGAAUCAUCGAGUCUUUGAACGCACAUUGCGCCCCCUGGUAUUCCGGGGGGCAUGCCUGUCCGAGCGUCAUUGCUGCCCUCAAGCACGGCUUGUGUGUUGGGCCGCCGUCCCCGGUUCUCCCCCGGGGACGGGCCCGAAAGGCAGCGGCGGCACCGCGUCCGGUCCUCGAGCGUAUGGGGCUUCGUCACCCGCUCUGUAGGCCCGGCCGGCGCCAGCCGACACCCAACUGGUGUAUUUCUAAGGAGUUGCUCCAUCGAGAUCUAUUGUACGGGAUACCCGCUGAACUUAAGCAUAUCAAUAAGCGGAGGAACAU